rnacentral:tRNA from 2 species
GGCGGGGUAGCUCAGCUGGCUAGAGCGACGGUCUCAUAAUCCGUAGGUCGGGAGUUCGAGUCUCCCUCCCGCCACCA